CCUACGGGUGGCAGCAGUGAGGAAUAUUGGUCAAUGGGAGGAAUCCUGAACCAGCCAUGCCGCGUGCAGGACGACGGCUCUACGAGUUGUAAACUGCUUUUGUACCGGGGUAAAAUGCUCUACGAGUAGGGUUUUGAAAGUACGGUACGAAUAAGGAUCGGCUAACUCCGUGCCAGCAGCCGCGGUAAUACGGAGGAUGCGAGCGUUAUCCGGAUUUAUUGGGUUUAAAGGGUGCGUAGGCGGACUGUUAAGUCAGCGGUAAAAGCCCGGGGCUCAACCCCGGCGAGCCGUUGAAACUGGCUGUCUUGAGAUGUCGAGAGGUAUGCGGAAUGCGCAGUGUAGCGGUGAAAUGCUUAGAUAUUGCGCAGAACUCCGAUUGCGAAGGCAGCAUACCGGCGGCGAUCUGACGCUGAGGCACGAAAGCGUGGGUAUCGAACAGGAUUAGAUACCCCUGUAGUC
rnacentral:rRNA from 1 species